AAAAAGGUUUAAAAAAAAAAUCUAAAAUGUUUAAUUCAUUUGUCAAUAAUGAUUAAAAAAACAUGACAAUCAAUGGAAAAGUGUAACGUUGUUCAAAACCUGGUAACGAGACAAUGGGUCUUCUCUUUGGAGGCAGAGGAGAUCCACUUAGACCCUACCUCACAGCACACAGCAAAACAAAUUCCAGCCGGUUUAACAACCAAUAAACAAAGCAGAGGAAACUAAAGAAAUAUUUACAAAAUAUAUUCAAAGAGCAGGGCUUCUGCAGUUAAAAAUGAGAGAAUGACUCAAGAUAAAGACAUAUAUUUGAUUAUAUAAAUUUUAAACGCUAAUUGUUUUAAAAGAGAACUUUAUUAGGGAAAGCUCAUACAAUAAGUAAAACACUUUGACUCUAAUUUUAAAAAAGGAAAGACAAAAGAAAUAAAGAAACAAUUACAAAAAAGGAAAUGCAACUGCAUAAACAGUAUAUGAAAAAAUAUUCUCUAUCAUUAGGAAUUAAGGCAAGAUGAAAUAUUAAAAUGCCAUUUUCAUGUAUGAAAUCAGUACUGAUUUUUAAUAAAUAAUACUCAAUUUGAACAAGACUCAUUGAAAUAACCUAGUACAUUAAUUCUGAGAGUAUGAAAGCAAUCUGGCAAUACAAACCAUUAAAUAUUAAAACAUUCCAUACUUUAAACUGAAUAAUCACUAUUCUGGGAUGCUAAGAAAGCAUUCCUAAAUACCUAUUUUUAAAAGCUUUAUGCAUAAAAUUGUCACUGCACAGUUAUUUCUACUUUUGAAUUUAAAAUUAUUUUCUCAUUUUAGAAGUAAUAAGAAGUAGAUUGUAAAAAUUUAAAAAUAAAAACUAGGAAAAAGUCCCCAAAUAAAAUUCCAUCCCAGAAAUAACCACUCUUCACACUUCUAACUUAUCCAUCAUUUUUCCCCACUUAAAAUAUUAGGAACAGAAGCAACAAUAUCCCAACAAAAAGCACACUCCAUGCUCAAAUCUUGGUUCCUAAUACUAUUCUUGAUUAAAAGGAAUCAGGCUCCUAGAGAAAUGGCUGAUUCUAGGGCUUGGGCCAUGUAAUGCCACAAAGUAAGGAAGUAUUCAAAAAAGCAAAACAUUGAAGAACGUCAAAAAGACACAGGAGCCAACGGAAAGAGCUCCACUGGCCAAAGCUGGGCAACAGAAUAAGUGACAUACUACUGGAUUACAACUCAAACUACAAAUAAAUAUCCAUGAAUCCAUACUGAUAUAAACUAAUGACUGAAUAAACACAUAAACGGGGGUGAAGAGACAACUCUCCCAUAUAGAAGAAUCCCAAGUAAGUUAAUGUAGAUGCUGCUCCUUCCAGGAGGGGAGCUGAUGCCCCACCCCUUAACUGUGGCUGUGCAUAGUAACUUCCUCUAAAGAUUUAAAAGCCAGGCCUACGAAUGGGUGAGAACUGUCUCUUUUGGAGUUCAUUAAGAUUUUGGUUUUUUCUUUUGAAUCACUUAAAAUAAAAGAAACAUAAAUCUAUGAGAUGCAAUAUUUAAUACUUCUUUUAUAUCAAUUUAUUUCAUCAGAGUAUUAGCUAAGAAAACGCACGUGUGUUAAACAUUUCUGACCUCACAUAAAUGAAAUUUCUUUGAAAGAGAUCAGUAAGAAUAACUUCCUUGGGCUUAGUUACAACAUGGUGACAGGACCAGAGCAGACUAAAAAAUACAGAAAUUAUCUGGUAGAGACAGGAAAGAAAAAUAAUCAAUGCGUGCUUAAAAAAGUCUGUUUCUUAAAGGAACCAUUGCUAUCAUAUUGCGUAGGUGUUAACGUAUUUCUGCAGAAACUAGGAGUCAGUUUGCAAGACUUACUCCUCCUGAUGAAGAAGAGCAUAAUUCGGGACUUCAGAUGGAUUCGGUAGAUACUCUAAAACAGCAUCUAAGAGAGGCUGGACGCCUUUGUUCUUCAAGGCACUUCCCAAAAAGACAGGAGUAAAGGACCUAUUUAGAGUAGCUCUUCGGAUUGCAAGCUGCAACAGAAAAAAAUUUAAUGAUUAGUUAAUCUUAAAAAUUACAUUUUUUGUUUCAGAUCAAUUAUAAACCAACAAAUGAAUGAAAUGCAUUGAUACUCUUUGGAGUACUGGCUCUAGCGGAGACUAGCAUCAGGUUCUCUAUAACUUAAGGUCAAAAUACAAAGAAAAAGAAACAAAAUCAGUUCCUUUUUUCAGGGCUUGGAAGCUACGUACUGUACAACGGCUUUCAACAUUCUUGGAAUGUCACUAAUUUUCACUUUGGCAAAAAAAGAUACAUACAUAUAGAAAAUAGACACAUAAACAGAAGAGUGUGAACAGUAUGCUAACAAUUGCACAAAAUAGAGGGAAAAGUUAUACAUAUGCAAAAAAAAAAAUCUCUGGAAAGAUACAACAGAAACCAUUUACCAGUAACCUGCUUUAGGAAGGGGCAAAGAACUGAGCAGAGGGGAGACAGGUGGGAGAUUUUUUACUG
rnacentral:lncRNA from 1 species